rnacentral:rRNA from 1 species
CCUACGGGAGGCUGCAGUGGGGAAUAUUGGACAAUGGGCGAAAGCCUGAUCCAGCCAUGCCGCGUGUGUGAAGAAGGCCUUCGGGUUGUAAAGCACUUUCAGUGGGGAAGAAAGCCUUGGGGCUAAUACCCUCGAGGAAGGACAUCACCCACAGAAGAAGCACCGGCUAACUCCGUGCCAGCAGCCGCGGUAAUACGGAGGGUGCGAGCGUUAAUCGGAAUUACUGGGCGUAAAGCGCGCGUAGGCGGUCUGAUAAGCCGGUUGUGAAAGCCCCGGGCUCAACCUGGGAACGGCAUCCGGAACUGUCAGGCUAGAGUGCAGGAGAGGAAGGUAGAAUUCCCGGUGUAGCGGUGAAGUGCGUAGAGAUCGGGAGGAAUACCAGUGGCGAAGGCGGCCUUCUGGACUGACACUGACGCUGAGGUGCGAAAGCGUGGGUAGCAAACAGGAUUAGAUACCCUGGUAGUC